rnacentral:rRNA from 1 species
CCUACGGGAGGCUGCAGUGGGGAAUAUUGCACAAUGGGGGAAACCCUGAUGCAGCGACGCCGCGUGAGUGAAGAAGUAUCUCGGUAUGUAAAGCUCUAUCAGCAGGGAAGUAAAUGACGGUACCUGAUUAAGAAGCUCCGGCCAACUACGUGCCAGCAGCCGUGGCAAUACGUAGGGGGCAAGCGUUAUCCGGAUUUACUGGGCGUAAAGGGAGUGUAGACGGCAGCACAAGUCAGGAGUGAAAUGCCGGGGCUUAACCCCGGAACUGCUAUGGAUACUGUGCAGCUAGAGUACAGGAGAGGUAAGUGGAAUUCCUGGUGUAGCGGUGAAAUGCGUAGAUAUUAGGAGGAACACCGAUGGCGAAGGCAGCUUACUGGACUGUAACUGACGUUGAGGCUCGAAAGCGUGGGGAGCAAACAGGAUUAGAUACCCCGGUAGUC